GUUCUUGACCUUCGGAUGGGUGGUUAGCAAGGAGGCUAAGAAGAGGGGAUGGAAAGGUAACCAAAUCACUGUACAUAUUUGUUGCAGAUGUUAAGGACACCUCUAAAUUGUUGUAGAAUUUUGUGCAGGUGUGUCCUCCGUUGGUUCCAAGAAUUUAGACAACUCAUUUUCAAGUAUCUUCCUAUUGUGGAAAUGAUGUAUAUUAGUGUAUGGGACAGGUGAACUACUCUACAGUACCAAGCCUGCCACACAAAAGAAGACAACAAAUAUUUGCGACCGCUUGUUUUAUAGUCUACCGAAUAUUACGACAGUAACUACAAACAUUGUAUCAUGAAUUGGUUGAUUGUGGCAAUGUGGUUUAUCAAUUGGAUGCACCAGAUUAGUGUGGAUUCUAGAACAAAUUCUUUGUCCUUUAGAUUUGUACUAUCCUAUUCCGGUUCUAAUACUUCAUUUGAGAAAUAGAG
rnacentral:lncRNA from 1 species